rnacentral:rRNA from 1 species
UACAGAGGGGGCGAGCGUUGUUCGGAAUUACUGGGCGUAAAGGGCGCGUAGGCGGCCUUCUAAGUCGGACGUGAAAUCCCUCGGCUCAACCGGGGAACUGCGUCCGAUACUGGAUGGCUUGAAUUCGGGAGAGGGAUGCGGAAUUCCAGGUGUAGCGGUGAAAUGCGUAGAUAUCUGGAGGAACACCGGUGGCGAAGGCGGCAUCCUGGACCGAGAUUGACGCUGAUGCGCGAAAGCCAGGGGAGCAAACGGG